rnacentral:tRNA from 1 species
ACCUGGCUGGCUCAGUUGGAAGAGCACGAAACUCUUGAUCUUGGGGUUGUGAGUUUGAGCCCCAUGUUGGGUG